CCAUCCAACCAUCUCAUCCCCUGUCGUCCCCUUCUCCUGUGGCGGUGGAGCCUGCUAGCCAGGAAACCCUAGACAUGGUGGAAACACCCACCACUCCAGUCCCCAGAAGAUGUCAUCAGUUGCGCCAGCAACACCGAAGCGCCAAUAAUUCCAAAGGCACGGCGACAAGGGGAUCAGGUGACACCUCCGACAGGUGCAUGGCGGGAGGAAAGCGCCUCCUCUCAAGAGUAACCAGUGGAAGCACAGCUCCCAACAACCUUGUAGGCCAGUUUAAACAUUCUGGGGGAAGUUUUCAGCACUGAUGUUCCAAAGUGCUCAUGCCAUCAUUGUCUAUAAUAGACAAGUCAGAUUGAUUGGCGUAACUGCUAUUGACUCUAGCCUCGGUUCUCGCAUUGAUCUGCAAACGGCCCAGAAUAGCUAAAGGAUCGCCAGCCUGGACAGGAGUUCAAGAAGGGAAGAAGUA